CGAAGAGUGAUGAUAUUUGCCGCCCCAGACUGAGAGCUGAUGACAAAGCAAGAUCUGACUUCGC